rnacentral:rRNA from 1 species
AUUGAACGCUGGCGGCAGGCCUAACACAUGCAAGUCGAGCGAGCGGCGGACGGGUGAGUAAUGUAUGGGGACUGCCCGCUAGAGGGGGAUAACUACUGGAAACGGUGGCUAAUACCGCAUACUGUCGGAUCACCCAUAUGGGAUUAGCUAGUAGGUAAGGUAAUGGAUUACCUAGGCGACGAUCCCUAGCUGUCCUGAGAGGAUGAUCAGCCACAGUGGAACUAAAGAACGGCCCAGAUCCCUACGGAGGCAGCAGUGGGCAAUAUUGCACAAUAGCCGCAAGUCUGAUGCAGCCAUAGCGCGGAGAUGAAGAAGGCCCUAGGGUUGUAAAGUACUGUCAGGAGAGACGCGGUACCGACAGAAGAAGCACCGGCUAACUCCGUGACAGCAGCCGCGGUAAUUC